rnacentral:rRNA from 1 species
UACGUAGGGGGCUAGCGUUGUCCGGAUUUAUUGGGCGUAAAGAGCGUGUAGGCGGCCACACAGGUCCGUUGUGAAAACUCGAGGCUUAACCUCGAGACGUCGAUGGAAACCGUAUGGCUAGAGUCCGGAAGAGGAGAGUGGAAUUCCUGGUGUAGCGGUGAAAUGCGCAGAUAUCAGGAAGAACACCCGUGGCGAAGGCGGCUCUCUGGGACGGUACUGACGCUGAGACGCGAAAGCGUGGGGAGCGAACAGG